rnacentral:rRNA from 1 species
ACGAACGCUGGCGGCGUGCUUCACACAUGCAAGUCGAACGGAAAGGCCCUGCUUUUGUGGGGUGCUCGAGUGGCGAACGGGUGAGUAACACGUGAGUAACCUGCCCUUGACUUUGGGAUAACUUCAGGAAACUGGGGCUAAUACCGGAUAGGAGCUCCUGCUGCAUGGUGGGGGUUGGAAAGUUUCGGCGGUUGGGGAUGGACUCGCGGCCUAUCAGCUUGUUGGUGGGGUAGUGGCUUACCAAGGCUUUGACGGGUAGCCGGCCUGAGAGGGUGACCGGCCACAUUGGGACUGAGAUACGGCCCAGACUCCUACGGGAGGCAGCAGUGGGGAAUAUUGCACAAUGGGCGGAAGCCUGAUGCAGCAACGCCGCGUGCGGGAUGACGGCCUUCGGGUUGUAAACCGCUUUCGCCUGUGACGAAGCGUGAGUGACGGUAAUGGGUAAAGAAGCACCGGCUAACUACGUG